CUUUAUGCUCCAAUUUUGCACAAAAGAAAAAGACUAAGGGUUAGGAUCCAUGACUCAUUUUUAAAAAUAUCAAUAAUAUACUAUUUGUAGAGAAACUAUUUAACUAUUAUUUUGUUCAAAUAGGAAAGAUUACAUACAUGGCACAACACCAAUUUGAGAUGUGAACACAGUUAGUACUAAAGAGAGAUUGUUAAGAGUCCCACAUUCUAUAAAAUAUGACCUCAAAUGAGUAGUGGGAACUGGGAAGUCCUCGCAUUAGAGCCAGUUUUGUAAUGUUGUUUAGUUCCUUAUUGGGAAUACAUGAUAGAAGAAAUUACUCAUCUUAUUUCCAAACUUAACCUUUACCAAGCAUAGGCUUAUUUUUUUCAAAAUUGUCUUUUGUCUUGUCUCCGAAGAAUGUAUCUUUCUCGCACUCAUCACCUUAGCUCAGUUGGUAAGGCACAUUGCAUUUUAUAUGCAGGAGCUGGGGUUCGAACCCCGGACACCCCACUUAUCCACCUUAAGGGUGGAAUUUCUAGCCACUAGGUUACCUGACCCAAAAAAAAAGAAUGUAUCUUUCUCUUAAGACUGAGAUCAGUUAGAAAUUGGUUUAGACUAACUUAACCCUUACAAAACUAGUUUGUAAUGUGGUGGCUUCUCGUUACUUAUAAACACAUUUUCAUGUCAUAUCUAAUCCAACAUAACAUGGGACUCUUAACAAAUAUCCGUGAAGGUAAAUAUCCUAAAAUGUAAUCAAAAUCAA
rnacentral:lncRNA from 1 species